GUUUCCGUCUGAAAUGAAAGUGGCCGCAUUCGUGUUCAUUCAUAAUAUUGAAAUGUAAGUUGUAUUUGAUGAUAAUACAUAAUAUAUAUAAAGGUUGAGGAUGAACACGGAUGCGGCCACUUUCAUUUUUGACAAAAAUCAUCUGAAAAGUGACGAUUUUUGGCAUAUUUGAUAGAUUUUUCAUAUUGAAGCUUGAAUCGGGGCGUUUUAAAUGACUUAUUAAGUUAAAAUCUUCCCCAUUAACUAAUUGAAUCAAUUGAAAUAGACACUUAAGUGUUUAGAAAGUGUCUAAAAUCUUUCGUUAGAUGAACUUGAAAAUUGAGGCCGAAAUCGGCCCUUACCGGACCUACUCCUUUAAUUAUAUUCUUUC
rnacentral:lncRNA from 1 species